rnacentral:rRNA from 1 species
UGUCGUAAUCUAACGAGUUAAGCAUGCCGCCUGGGUAGUAUAUUCGCAAGAAUGAAACUCAAAGGGAUAGGCGGGGGAACACACAAGCAGUGGAUUGUCUAGAUUAAUUGGAUAAUAAGCCAAGAAUCUUACCUAGAUUUGACAUGUACUAUGUCCUAUGUGAAAGCAUAGUAGUCCGAGCAAUCGGACAUGGUAUACAGGUGGUGCAUGGUCGUCGUCAGCUCGUGCCGCAAGGUGUCUAGUUAAGUCUGGAAACGAGCGCAACCCUCAUCUUUAGUUAGAAUGUCUAAAGAGACUGCUCGGGUAACCGAGAGGAAGGAGAGGAUGAUGUCAGAUCCUCAUGCCCCUUACAUCUAGGGCUUCAUAGNNAAUACAAUGGGUGAUACAACGAGAAGCUAAGCCGCGAGGUGGAGCAAACCUCUAAAAUCAUUCCAAGUUCGGAUUGUAGUCUGGAACUCGACUACA